GGGCGGAUGCAGCAAGGCCGCGUGCGGGAAGACGGCCCUAGGGUUGUAAACCGCUUUCAGCAGGGAAGAAACUGACGGUACCUGCAGAAGAAGGUGCGGCCAACUACGUGCCAGCAGCCGCGGUGACACGUAGGCACCAAGCGUUAUCCGGAUUUAUUGGGCGUAAAGAGCUCGUAGGCGGUUUAGUAAGUCGGGUGUGAAAACUCUGGGCUUCAACCCAGAGAGGCCACCCGAUACUGCUAUGACUUGAGUACGGGUAGGGGAGCGGGGAAUUCCUGGUGUAGCGGUGAAAUGCGCAGAUAUCAGGAAGAACACCGGUGGCGAAGGCGCCGCUCUGGGCCGAAACUGACGCUGAGGAGCGAAAGCGUGGGUAGCAAACAGGAUUAGAUACCCUGGUAGUCCACGCCGUAAACGUUGGGCACUAGGUGUGGGUCUCAACUAACGAGAUCCGCGCCGUAGCUAACGCAUUAAGUGCCCCGCCUGGGGAGUACGGUCGCAAGACUAAAACUCAGAGGAAUUGACGG
rnacentral:rRNA from 1 species